AGAAAGCUCCGGGGAUCCUGCCUAGAAGGGAGCUGGGCCAAAAGAUUGGGUUAAAAGGGGGUGGGAGGGGUAAUCCGUUUGAUCCAACUUCAAAUCCCACCACUGACUCCUUUGAACAAGGGCUAUCAAAGGAAGCCCUCUCCCAGCGAGCUGUGUGAAAUUGGAGACUCCACUUACCUUCUGCCUCUUAAAAUUAGGCAAGCCCUCCACACAGCAAGAGAGUAAGUGGCAAGCGUGCGGACAGCUCUUUCUGAGCUGGAUGAUUUAGUGAAGCAGCUGUGGGGGAUACAGGAGGGGGGAUUUAAAAGAAGGACCCAGUGGACUGAGGGAGGACUAUUCACCCCCUGUUUGUAAUGCUGGUUAUUACUUUCUUGCCUAUGGUGUUAUCGAGACUGAGAACCUCAGCCCAUUUUGUGGUCAUAAACCAGAAACUUGGAGAAAGUACCCAGUAUGUUUGCAGGUGGGACUUCUUGUAAAAGACACUUGGUAGCCCGUAGUCUGAAAGGCAGGACAAAGCAAAUCACGUAGGAUGAAAUUAGAGCCAACUCUUCCCUCCCAGUCCUCUGAAAGUUUGCAGAGAAAUGACAACAUAUGUCAGACAAGUAUAAAUCAGAGGAGAAAAAAAAUAAGACCAUGGAUGAAAACUGUGACUCUGAAGCAGAGUUUAUUUGGCAUCAACACUAGUGUUUACUGGGUGACCAUAUGGUUGCAUGAAUAAGAGCUUUAAUAUUAGAUAAAUCUGUUUGAGUUUCAGCUUCACCAGUAUCUUCAUAAGACCUUAGACAAAUUCACACCUAUCAUCCUAUUACUUUGGAAGGCCAA